AGACAAACAGACGUAACACUUCGAACAUUUGUCGAUUCAAAUCAUUGUCACGGAAACAUUCGCCCAAUGCUAAAAGGACUAUGUUUGGCCGACCACCAACUAGGUGGCGGUAGUGAGCAAACGUCAAACUCGAACAAAAACUAUGCGAGCGCCACGGUUGGGCAGUUGGCCAACUAUCAAAUUUUGAAAAAACCGUUAAAUCGGUGUACGAUGGGAUUUAUCAGAGUGUUACGUCUGUUUGUCUGCUAUUCAACACUGCAAAAACUGAAUAAAUGCAAUGUACAAACUAGAAAAUGCAUUGUUGCUCUAACACAGUGAUCACCAAAGUGCAGCCCGCGGGCCGCACGUGACGCCGAGUUCUCUAUGUUGCCGUAGAAUUUCUUAAAAUGUUUCUUAAGGAGGUUGUUCUACUCCCAAAAUAACCUAGAAUAACGUGUUGAAUGUUUCACAAAUGGUUCUAGGAAGUGCAAUACAAACAGUUGAAAAAAUAGGCUUGAGGAUCGCUGCUCUAACACAUGUUGCUCUAGCAAUACAAUUAUAAAAACUUGACUCUAAUGGUAUAAGCAAACGAAAUCAAGAAGAGUGAACAACUUUACGAUCAACUCUAGCGGUUUUCAACACUUCUGGUUCGACUCCCGACCAGCUUUAUCCCCGUUUGAACCACCGAUCGACGACUUUCUUAAGCAAAAUCGUUUUAAAGAUGACCUUUUCUCUUUUCUGUUGACUGCCAUCACAUCCCGAUAAUGAUGGAAACCACAAUUUGCAUAAUGAGUAGUGUGCGAAGGGUGUUUUAGUUUUCUUAUACAUAUUGAUGAAAUAUCUUCUAAAAUGCAUAAUGAGUUUAUCAAUGAUUUAUCAGAAUGUGAUUGAAGGGGUCUAUUACACAUGACAUAGUCAGUCGUUUUGCCCUCUACUGCAAUGAUUGAGACAGAAGAACAGUUUCCUUUUAGUUAAUGAAAUAUCUGUUGUUAUCGCUGCAGCAGAAAUAGUCCAAGGCAUAAGCGCGUAUGAAACUCAUCUAGCGGUCUUCAGCGGUCUUCUGGUUCGACUCCCGACCCGGCAACAAAAACAUAAUGGUUACAACAUUCAUGUGAUGGGGCAUUAGUACCGUCGAUAACAAAACGGUGCUAAGAAUAGAUUUUUGUUUUGGUUUUUCGUGUUGGUUUAAGGAUGUGCAAAUGCAAAUCCACAGCACAUGCAUUUAUGUUACUUUAGCAAUGGCUGUCAACGUGUUGCAAUAUGUGGCACUAAUUUGAUUUUAGUGGGGCCGUGGAGCCCUUUUCGACUUUAAUAUUGCUUCAAUGAGGUGUUUAAAGUAAUGCAGCUUUAUAUUCACAAUUUUAUACAUCACUAUAUGGCAAAAUUGAUGCAAUUAUAUACGGCUUCGUCGUUACUUGGGAAGUGCGAUUAAAAUCAGCGUCACAAAAGUAUAAUCGCCCAAUGCUAAUUACGCUGUGUUUCGCAAACUUACUGAGUAGAUGGCGGUAGUGACCAAACGUCAAACAGGAGGAAAAACGAUGCGAGCGCCAUGAGUGAGAAAUUUGCGAACUAUAAAGAAUAUUUGAAUGAUCCGUUAAAAAGGGAAACGAUGGGAAGUGGAUAGAGUGAGACGUCUGUUUGUCUGUGCCCAUAAUAUGAACUGUGUAGCUCAGCUCAUUUCAACCCAUAAUUUGAUUAUUUCUUAAAAUAUUUACCAAAUCUAUAAUUUUACAAUAAGUUUGAGCUAAUUUUCAAAUUUUGAGUCAUUUUUGAGGUCAUUUGGCCGAAUGCCAUUUGACCGAAAAAUGAAUGAUGAACUUAAGUGGCCAUACUACUAUUCCCCGUCUCAGUAUAACUCGAAAGAACAGCCUAUGAUUCAAAGAAGGAAAAAUCUUUGAUAAAAUAUUUGACAGUUUCAACGCCAACUAGGUAAUCCCUGAAUAUAAAAGCUGGAAAGGCCUAUGAUUAAUAGAAGCAGAGCCGGAUUUAAGGGGGGCCAGGGCCCCGGGCCCCCACAUUUCUGGGGCCCCCACAAAAUUUCACUUCACAAAAAAUGUGAUGCAAGAAAAAACACUAGUGCAAGACACUUCUCUUAUGGUUAGAUUUUUGUCAUUAGAACUUCAAGCAACUGUGAUAUGUUGUGAUUCGUUUCAGCAAGACUGCAACUAUUUGUCCAGCUAUUUGUGAAAUUAUAAAUUGUUUUCUUAAAACUUUUUACAUUUAUUUUUAUUUGUGCAAUUGCUCAAGAUACAUUACCAGAAAUCAUGUAGAAAAUAUUCGACUGAAUUCUAGAUAAACACCAAAUCUCCAUUGGCGUAAAUAAUUAUUAAGGGGUGGCCAGGGGGCCUGGCCCCCUCCAGAAUCACGAGAUUCAGGCAAUAAGAAUAUUUGGAGCAGUUCUGGAGUAUAAAAAUCUAUACCGACAUGACCAUGGCCCUCCCUAGACUUAUGACCAAGUUACGCUUAAGCAAAACUCUGUAAAUUGAAAAGUCAAAAAGUUCCUGCUGAAUAAGUUUGUUUUUUUCUUGGUUUUUGAAAACAUUUUUAAGAAUUUACCACAGAGUUUUUAGAGGAAUUGAAAGAUUUUUUUUCGAAAUUUAGAAGUAUUUUUGGAAUACUAGAGUUUGAUUUUACUCAAAUCGGAGAACACCAAAACUGCUGCAACAUUUUCUGGAGGUUAUCUAGCUAGAAUAUAAGGCAGAUUGUUUUGAAUAAUUUCAGUCCAAAUUUCAUGAGUUGAGAGAUUUGCUUACUGAAAUUAGGAUGAAUCGUUGGUGAACUUCUGAUAACAUCAAUAGAUUCCUUGAGAACAUUAUAGAAUAAAUUUGUGGAGAAAUUGGCUAAUCAUUUGUCCAGGUUUUCGGCAAAAGAUUCUCAAGUUCAAUAAUAUAUUAUAUCCGUAACUACAUUAUGAAUUUAUCAUGGAUUCUCGGUAAAAUUUCUUCAAAUUUUUUAAUAAUCCUUUUGAUUUCAAAGUUAAGUUGAAAUUUCUUUUGGGAGGUCGCCAGGAGUCCAGCAGUAACAUUAGAACAAAUUUUUGUUAAGUUUUCAUACUUUAUGUUAUCGACCAGCAACUUCAUCAGAGAUUGCAGCAGAAAUUCCCGAGAAAUUCUCUUUGAAUUUCACAAAAGCGACAAUACCGAACGCGCUACAAAUUAUACUUGAUUCCUCGAAAAUUUCAGCUAUAAAUUCAUCUUGCAGUUUCUAUGUGAAUGUGCAGUUUCUAGCAUGAAUUUUACUAAAUCUGGGAUCUAAUGAUGUGAGCACACUGGCAAAAAGCAUGUUUCACUUUAUGUAAAUUUAUUUCAUCAUUGUUUUUAGCGUGGAAACAAAAAAAAAAUGAAAUCAAUUAUGAAUAUAUUUAGUGAAUAUCAUCUUCUUUUGCUCUUUAUUCAAAUUGUUUCACAACUACAGUAAUAUCUUCAUUGAUACAUUUUAAUCAGAAUUGUUGAUGUUUUUUUUUAAUUUUUCCCAUGUUAUAUAUGCAAAAACAUAUCCUCUAUACAGAGGGGCCCCCAUAACACUGUGGCCCCGGGCCCCCACAUUUGUAAAUCCGGCCCUGAAUAGAAGGAAAUACUUCUGAUGAUCAUAUUGGCAGUUAGAAUGUCGAAAACUUCCUCUGAAUUCUUUUGAUCAUGAUUCGGCCAAAUGACCCUUUCGGUCAGAUGGCAUUCAGCCAAACGACAUUUGGCCAAAUGGCCGGACACCCAAAAAAAUACCAGGCGCCUGUUGUAGUAGUCCCAAUAGGGUCCUAAAAUUAAAGACAAAAUCUCGCUUUUAUUGAAUAAUACGAUCAAGCAUGAUAUUCUAAUCGGAAUUGUACUUUACUCGAACUUGAAAAACAAAGGAAUAAUGAGAAAAUUCGAAAUAAGUAAAAUGGUAAAUAGUUCUACUUUGACAUUUGAGGUCAACCUUGUGUGACUGAGCUCGACAUUUUUCGCACUGGGAUUUCAAAAAUGUUUUAUCUGACAUACACGGUGAAAAAAAAUCAUUCAAAGUAUGUGUUAUAAGCUAGAGACAAAAGACUAAAAAAAUAAAAAUUAUAUAUUUUUAACUACGGUUAAUAAAAACGUCAAAAAAUGAGUAAAUAUGUACUCUUGAACCAUAUAUUGUGGUUUAAAACAAGAAUCCCGGUAGGACUUUAGGAGCCUAUUGGGUUGUUUAAUGAAUAAAAUAUUGCUAUUUUCUAUAGCCUAAUCGAAAGAGCUCAUUUUUCUGAGUAUUACGUGAUUUUAUUGGUUUAUUUUGAUGGUCAAAUUAACAAAACAGUUUUAAAUUUCGUGGAUACAAUGACAGUUCAAAGUUCAAUCGAUAAAAUGACAGUUCGACCCGAACAAAAAAAAUCCCCAUACAAACUUUAAAUGCAAUUUAAAAAUAGUUCCCGGACUCCAAAAAUUAUGAAAUAUUGGAUUUGUAUUUGUAAUUUGACACUAAACCACAUAACAUUAUCUGCAAUAUUAGGAUUAGGUACCGUUUCAGUAAUUAGAAUCCUUUGUAUUUUUAUAUGUUUACUUUCCUUGACCUGAUAAACAGUGUAAACUAGCAGGCUACCGUUAAUAAAGUUACAAUUACAGUUACAAUUUAGACUAAUUUUGGGGCGGGGAAUCCGAUUAUGAAAUAAUCCGGAUACCCCUAAAGAACCCAAUUUCGCGUAAACCAAAAAAAAAAAAAAGUUCGAAAUAAAUUGUUAUGAAACAGAAACAAAAAACACAAACAGUAAAUGGCAAUAUAGUUGCCACUGCCUUAUAAAGGGUUAAGAAACAAAUUUUGAAAUAUUUAUAAUUGUCAAUAUGUAUUAGUCUUGACCCUAGUACGAUGCUUGGAUCAAUAUGACCCACAGGCUCGCUGAACGUGCACUACGCCAUAAUAGUGCGCCUAGCUCAACCUCUUAGGAUUAGCUGAUUGGCAAGUAUAUCAGGCAGUUUCCUUGACCUCAUUUAAAGUGUAUACUGGCAAGUUAUCGUUUUUAAUAAAAUUACAAAUUAUCAACCCAAACAACAGCAUAUUUUCUCUACGUUUAAAGUAGACCUAGUAGAGAAAUCCGUCCACUUCAGUGCCACCUCGAACACAAAAAUGUCAGGAAAUUCUGGAAUCCCGAUGUCGUUUUCCUUUACGUUUUGCGCCGAAGAAGCACUGAAUUUUGCUGAGAUAUUCACCAUCGGAGAACAAGAAGCCCAGCACCAGAAACAAGUUGUUCUUUCUGAAGAAAUAUAUUUAAAACCACCGUCCUGAAGUGAAACCGUUGGUUCCAAACAUAUCUCUCCCAACCAGGGGUUAUUUGAAUAUUUUGUAUCGCGUUUGAACUUUCUUAAAAAUACGAUCUUCACUUAAAUUCACCACAGUUCCAUCCCCUUCAUCACCAUCAUCAGCCGCUUACUUCUUG